rnacentral:rRNA from 1 species
AACGCGAAGAACCUUACCAGGUCUUGACAUCCUCUGACAACCCUAGAGAUAGGGCUUCUCCUUCGGGAGCAGAGUGACAGGUGGUGCAUGGUUGUCGUCAGCUCGUGUCGUGAGAUGUUGGGUUAAGUCCCGCAACGAGCGCAACCCUUAUCCUUUGUUGCCAGCGGUCCGGCCGGGAACUCAAAGGAGACUGCCAGUGAUAAACUGGAGGAAGGUGGGGAUGACGUCAAGUCAUCAUGGCCCUUACGACCAGGGCUACACACGUGCUACAAUGGCGCAUACAAAGAGAAGCGACCUCGCGAGAGCAAGCGGACCUCAUAAAGUGCGUCGUAGUCCGGAUUGGAGUCUGCAACUCGACUCCAUGAAGUCGGAAUCGCUAGUAAUCGUGGAUCAGAAUGCCACGGUGAAUACGUUCCCGGGCCUUGUACACACCG